rnacentral:rRNA from 1 species
GGGUGAGUAAAGCUUAGGAAUCUGCCUAUUAGUGGGGGACAACAUUCCGAAAGGGAUGCUAAUACCGCAUACGUCCUACGGGAGAAAGCAGGGGAUCACUUGUGACCUUGCGCUAAUAGAUGAGCCUAAGUCGGAUUAGCUAGUUGGUGGGGUAAAGGCCUACCAAGGCGACGAUCUGUAGCGGGUCUGAGAGGAUGAUCCGCCACACUGGGACUGAGACACGGCCCAGACUCCUACGGGAGGCAGCAGUGGGGAAUAUUGGACAAUGGGGGGAACCCUGAUCCAGCCAUGCCGCGUGUGUGAAGAAGGCCUUUUGGUUGUAAAGCACUUUAAGCGAGGAGGAGGCUUACCUGGUUAAUACCUGGGAUAAGUGGACGUUACUCGCAGAAUAAGCACCGGCUAACUCUGUGCCAGCAGCCGCGGUAAUACAGAGGGUGCGAGCGUUAAUCGGAUUUACUGGGCGUAAAGCGCGCGUAGGUGGUUAAUUAAGUCAAAUGUGAAAUCCCCGAGCUUAACUUGGGAAUUGCAUUCGAUACUGGUUAGCUAGAGUAUGGGAGAGGAUGGUAGAAUUCCAGGUGUAGCGGUGAAAUGCGUAGAGAUCUGGAGGAAUACCGAUGGCGAAGGCAGCCAUCUGGCCUAAUACUGACACUGAGGUGCGAAAGCAUGGGGAGCAAACAGGAUUAGAUACCCUGGUAGUCCAUGCCGUAAACGAUGUCUACUAGCCGUUGGGGGAUUUGAUCCUUUAGUGGCGCAGCUAACGCGAUAAGUAGACCGCCUGGGGAGUACGGUCGCAAGACUAAAACUCAAAUGA